UCAUAUGCUUGUCUUAAAGAUUAAGCCAUGCAUGUCUAAGUAUAAGCUUUUAUACGGCUAAACUGCGAAUGGCUCAUUAAAACAGUUAUAGUUUAUUUGAUGGUCUUUACUACAUGGAUAACCGUGGUAAUUCUAUGGCUAAUACAUGCGCACAUGCCUCUUCCCCUGGAAGGGCAGUGUUUAUUAGAUACAGAACCAACCCACCUUCCGGUGGUCCUCAGGUGAUUCAUAGUAACCGAACGGAUCGCGUUGACUUCGGUCUGCGACGGAUCAUUCAAGUUUCUGACCUAUCAGCUUUCGACGGUACUGUAUUGGACUACCGUGGCAGUGACGGGUAACGGGGAAUUAGGGUUCGAUUCCGGAGAGGGAGCCUGAGAAACGGCUACCACCUC
rnacentral:rRNA from 1 species